GAGCCCGUGGCUCAAUGGUAGAGCGUUCGACUCAAAUACCAAAGGUCGCUAAAGGUCGCGGGUUCG
rnacentral:tRNA from 1 species